rnacentral:rRNA from 1 species
AUCGAACGCUGGCGGCAGGCCUAACACAUGCAAGUCGAGCGGAUGAAGGGAGCUUGCUCCUGGAUUCAGCGGCGGACGGGUAAGUAAUGCCUAGGAAUCUGCCUGGUAGUGGGGGAUAACGUCCGGAAACGGGCGCUAAUACCGCAUACGUCCUGAGGGAGAAAGUGGGGGAUCUUCGGACCUCACGCUAUCAGAUGAGCCUAGGUCGGAUUAGCUAGUUGGUGGGGUAAAGGCCUACCAAGGCGACGAUCCGUAACUGGUCUGAGAGGAUGAUCAGUCACACUGGAACUGAGACACGGUCCAGACUCCUACGGGAGGCAGCAGUGGGGAAUAUUGGACAAUGGGCGAAAGCCUGAUCCAGCCAUGCCGCGUGUGUGAAGAAGGUCUUCGGAUUGUAAAGCACUUUAAGUUGGGAGGAAGGGCAGUAAGUUAAUACCUUGCUGUUUUGACGUUACCAACAGAAUAAGCACCGGCUAACUUCGUG